rnacentral:rRNA from 1 species
UACGAAGGGGGCUAGCGUUGCUCGGAAUGACUGGGCGUAAAGGGCGCGUAGGCGGCCAGUGCAAGUCAGUUGUGAAAUCUCCGAGCUUAACUCGGAAAGGUCAACUGAUACUGCUCGGCUAGAGUGCGGAAGGGGCAACUGGAAUUCUUGGUGUAGCGGUGAAAUGCGUAGAUAUCAAGAGGAACACCUGCGGCGAAGGCGGGUUGCUGGGCCGACACUGACGCUGAAGCGCGAAAGCUAGGGGAGCGAACGGG